AGAACUGAAAGUCCGUGGAGUUACAGCCGAGUACAGGAAAACAUAACCGCGAGCCUGGGGAGUAAUGGACUCUGGGACAAAAACAGCAAAGACAGACAAAAAAGACAAGAGGCUGACACACAUAUACGCACAGAAGAAUCGGGCCUUAAGUGAGAGGGCUGAAACACAAUGCCGAUGUCAUGUCAUUACAUGAAGGAUCACUGUGCUCGCUGCAGCUGCUAUUUACAUAUAAAUGCAGCAGAAUGUGGUCAAAAGUUCACUUCUUCGUUCCGUGCAACAAGCACUCUGAAAGAUUAACGCCGAGAGGCAAGAAAAGUCAGAGCACGAUUCAUAAAAUGACUGGGCACAAAAAGUAACAGGAAAGCUGGCUGCCGGGGUUUUUACAAGCGUUUGAGUUUACUCUUCCAGGAAUGCCGUGAAACAUCGGCGACGGGUGUUGUUUCACAGCCCUGUUUUUUUUUUUUUUUUCUUCUCCUCCUCGCAUUCCUUCCUCCUUUUCCCCUCUGUUUGACGUUCUUUGUCCUGACCACUUGCACAUGGAGGGGAAAGGAGACACUGGCGGGGCUUAAUCCACCGCCAGAGGCAUGCUAAAGCCAUCUGGGCCCAAAACCAAACGUAAGGCCUUCUGCGUCGCCUAUAUGAGAGGAAGAGGAGGAGGCGGAGGGGGGGGGUGGAGGAUGGAUGGAGAGAAGGAGAUGGAAAAGUUAAGAGAGAGAAAAUGAGAGAGGGAAGAGAGAGAGAAAAGUCCUGACCCUGUGACCCUAUACAUCCUGUUGAAGGGGGCGGAGGGAAAGACGAGAUGGCAGCUAUAGGCACUGGCUGCAUGGGAGUGUGUCCAAAGUAGCGAGCGAAGGAGACGGCAUGUAUCGGGACUGAGGAAACAGACAUGGCAGGAGGGACUGAUGGAGCUCAAAGCAGCAUUCCUCCUCAUCGUUUGAUCUCCACGUCUCUCAGGCACGUAUACAUCAAGCAAAGCAUGAAUGUCUGUCAUGAUUCAUGAGUACAGUAUCACACACACUGAUCACUCGUUUCCUCGAUUUCCGUCUUUCACACACAAACGUGUCACUGUGCGUCUAAAAUAAUGUCUGACAGCAAGAUGAAACUUGUGAGUUGGCCCAUAUACUGAGACCCACUGCUGUGGGGAGACAUCAGAAGACAGGCUGGAUUUAUUCUAAAACUGGGGCUCCCUCUAGUGGCGAUAGAGCAGAAUUGAAAAACUGAAAAAUGAUUUAUUAUGAAGCAAAUAUUUAUG